rnacentral:tRNA from 1 species
AGCGAAGCGGACUGCACACGGAGAAGCCCUGGUUCCGCACCGGUGGACGCGGGUUCGAUUCCCGCCAUCUCCA